rfam:Rhodotorula graminis WP1 unplaced genomic scaffold RHOBAscaffold_13, whole genome shotgun sequence.
GCCCGGCUGGCGCAAUCGGUAGCGCACCUGACUUCUAUUCAGCUUUUGAACACAUCAGGAGGCUGCGGGUUCGAGCCCCGCGUUGGGCU